UACGUAGGGACCAAGCGUUGUUCGGAUUUACUGGGCGUAAAGGGCGCGUAGGCGGCAAUUCAAGUCAUCUGUGAAAUCUCCGGGCUUAACUCGGAACGGUCAGAUGAUACUGCUUUGCUAGAGUGCGGAAGGGGCAAUCGGAAUUCUUGGUGUAGCGGUGAAAUGCGUAGAUAUCGAGAGGAACACCUGCGGCGAAGGCGGGUUGCUGGGCUGACACUGACGCUGAAGCGCGAAAGCUAGGGGAGCGAACGGG
rnacentral:rRNA from 1 species